rnacentral:lncRNA from 1 species
UUCCAUGAGACGUGGACACUGUUGCAAUCAACCAAGAGAAAGGAAGAAUUUUAUUCCCAUUGGCGCAGGAGCUUGGGAAAGAUUUGCAUGUGGACUUCACGCCUUCACAGCUAAUGUGACCUUUGUGUUUUCACUCCAUCUCAACAGUAGCCAGGUAAUUAUACAUGGGAGCCAGCGCCAUAAAGACCACUGAAGCCAGGGCCAGUUUACAGCCGUGCUGUAGUCGGAGGGCUCACCGAGGGCAGACACAGUUUCAUUAAAACAUUCAGCAAUUCAAAGCAAACGAGACCCACUCCCUGGGGCUCUGUGUGGGGCAAAUUCCACUCCUCUGAUGGCAGAAAGCUUGGAGACUGCUCAGAAGUUUAACAUGGCAUUUUCAGUCCCGUUCCGUGUCAACACUGGGAUUGAGGAAGCCGUGGUCCUGGGUGACAGUGAAUGUUUGCCGUAGCCUUUCUGUAGAGAGAAGUCUUGUCUGGACCCAAGGUCUCCGGACCUGUGGCUCACACUGCUCAGCUUUGUGUGACAUCGGGAGCUUCCAGGUGACCUGGUGUCUGUCCUGUGGGGACGAUUCUAGAACCCGGCCCAAUACACCACAAGAAAUUGGGUAUAUGAGGGAGCCAAGAUUCGAAGUCCUAUCCUUGUGUUCUGGAGCUCAAUGACUGCCAUUUCUUUGCACCCAGCAUGCUGCAAACAGGAAGCUCAUGUCAUGGGCGUCCGCUUUCCCAGGAAGCAGCCUGUGUUGCAGGCAAGGGUUGAGGUAAACCUUCAGAGCAAGAAGCAGGACUGGCUUUUCCUGAGACUUUGGCUUUCCUUCCACAACGUGAGCUUCUCCAGGAACUGAGCCUCUCCCUGCAGAGUCUCAAAUGGAGUAAAACCAUCGGAACAAGCCUGACUCCUCCGAAGCUUCCUUCCGACUUAAGCAAAUGGAUUUCAGUUUGCGUUUGCAAAUUCCUCUCUGGAUUUAGACUUGGAAGUCACUUGGCACAGUCCUGCUCUUAGAAUAGUUUUCAAAGAGAGAAAAGUGCCUAAAGCAAAACUUCUCAAUUCCACGGUGUCUUCCGUUGCUUGCUCUUCCCUGGCAGGGAAGAGCUGAACUGUCUGUGGCCCCUCCCUCCAGGAUCUCCAAAGCCUUCUCUUUUAUUGGGAAAAAGCCCUCACUUCCCCCCACUCUUCCUUUACUUGUCUCUAUUCACCCCUACCCAGUAGAUGAAAGCAAGUGAUUUCCCCAAGGGUGUGAAGCCCAAGAAGGGAAGCUCAGCCCCUGCUCCAUGCCUGUGGCUAUGGAAGCAGCCAGGAAAGCAGAAGAGUGAGAGACUCUGAGUCCUGCUGGAAUGAAGGAAGUUCUGGGAGGAGCCUCACAUGCAUGCGGCAGAUUCAGUGGAAGGUUCACAGACGUGCCAGGGGCCAGCCUUUGACUCAGCAGGAGAAAACUCCUCUAUUACACAAAGUGCAGAUGUCUAACUCCAGUAAAGAGGUCUUGGAAGGCCCAGGGCAGUGGCAUGAUGGGACGUGCGUUGUGUCACCACGAUCUCUGUGCUAGUCAUCACAUAAAGGGUGGCAAUAUCCCUUCAGCAUUUCAUGCUCUCCCAGUCAGGGACAUUUCCAGCCUGAGAGGGAUGAAUAAGAUGGAUAAGAGGCUCUCCCUGAUCCCAGCCCUGCCAGCUGACACCUGCAGAACCCACAGGAUUCCUCUCCACGCUGUAAGCCUCUAACCAUGUCCCUGAUUCUGACAAGACCCUUCCUGCUUCGCCCACUCUGGGCAGCUUGCUUGGUUGCCAUCUUAGCACUGAAGAGAAUGAGAGGGCCUGAGCCUGGUGCCCAAGGGUCUCAAAAAAGAGAUCUUGGCAGUUCUUUAGACUACACAGAGAGAAAUAGGUUAGCUCCUCCUAGGCUGCUCCCUAGUUCCCUGUCACAGCCCGUAGCAGUGGAUCACUGCCCAUAACACGUUCCUCUCUCCCUACAUGUUCCAUCUUUCUUCACCUUUUCUUGUUCCUUCCAUGCCUUAUCUGGUUACUCCCAGCUCAGAAAACAGCCCAAAGCUCAGGACUCUCCUCUUCUCCAUCUUACAAGUUGAACCUUUGUAUCCCCAUGGUCUCUAAGCACAUCCCCAAUUCAUCCCAUUCCAUCCUACCACCCCCAGACACCAACAUCCAAGGAUGCUCUUAUCUCUACAAUUGAAGAAGCAGUGUUUUCAUGGAAUCUGCAUCUACCUCCCCUCAGGCUUUAGAUCCUCAUUACGUGAUGUGAUGUCACCACUCUGUUAGCUGGACCUGCAUUGUGCUGGGGAUAAGGAAGGGGAAGAUAACGAAGUCUUCUCUUGCUUAGCAUAAAAGGAUGCUCUGUUGAAAUAUUUGAAUCUGUGGUCUGAUGGUUCCCACAAUGUGGAAUAAGAAGCCAGACAUAUUCACCCCUGAGCUCAGUUUCUGUGGCUAGAAGUACCACCAAUCUGCAGAGAUUACCAAAGGUGAUUAUGCCAGUCAUGCAUAUUCCUUCCCCUCUCCUUCUGGUCUACUUCCUCCUUUCCUUCGUUACAUCCUCCCUACCUUCCUUCUCUCUCCUCUUACUCUUCUUCCUUAUGCCCUUCUAUUCUCCCUUCCAUCUUUCUUUCUCUCAUCUCUUAUUUCUCUCUUUCAUCCUUCCAUUUCCUCUUCCUUUCUUCCCUUUCCUCUCUUUUCCUUGGGUAGAAGUCUUUGGUGGUGCCAGCUUCAGCCUCACUUCAUCCCUCACGCUUACUCCGUGGUUGGUACCUGCACUGAAGUACACUCAGUGAUGUGGGAGAGGAGCCCGGUUUGCACAGCCAGCCCAGGACACCUUCCCAGGAACCUGCCGUAUCAGGGGAGGUCCUUCUCAGGCUGCAGCAUCAACUGGAAGUCCAAAGAAUAUGUCCAAAGAAUCCUGGCCAUACACAUGCAUGCACAUACAUGUGCACUUACAUACACAUACUCACACCCAUGCAUAUAUUAACAGUCACACAUCUGCACACACAGACUCAUACAUAGUCACAUGCACACAUAUUCAUAUACACAUAUAUGCACGCACUCCCACAUGUGCAUACACGCAUGUUAUCACUCACGUACAGAUACACACAGUCACAAGUACAAAGGCACAUACCUAUGCAUGCAUUUAUGUCUCUGAGAUGAAUUAACUGGGAACAGAACUACCCAGGUGGGUGUUCCAUAUAAUAAUUACAUUUUGGCAUUUGACAGCUUUUGUCCCUUUGGGAAAUAGUUUGACACUUUCAGCUGGUGCCAUGUGAUUUCUGAGCACUGCCCCCAAAGUAACCUUGUUCUAUAGCCACUGUGCUGUAAGUUGAUAUAAUGUACUUCUAUGUUAAAGUCUCCAGUGCAAAUCACAUGGUGAGCCAGGGCCAAGCCUCAGAACGGUCAGACUCAUGGAUCAGGUCAGGAUUUACUCAGCUGAGACCAGAGAUUGAAAGAGCAUCUGGUCAUAUCCUGAGAUACAGUGCUCCAACACAGUUCCCAAGGGACAGUCUCGUUUGGAGGACUGGACAAGUCCAUCCUGGGAAGAUAAAGGGAAGAACAAAUAUGGCAGUAAACAAGUGUAUACAAGGCCAUAUUCAGUUUCAAAAUAGCAUAAUAAAUAAGAGGUAGAGAUGUGAUUAUGU